GAUGUAAAAAGACACAGUUCACAUGUCUUCCUGUGGACAGCGGGACAGAAACCUCGACCUGAAGGGAGAAUUAGAGAAGAAGUGAACAUUAAACAGGAGCCUCAUGAAUCCAGUGGUGCAUCUUCACUAAAACCCGAAUGUCUAAAAACACUCUGCUUUGCUCGCCUGCAACCAGCGUGAAACCCCUCAAUCGUUAUUUCCUGAACAACACGCUCAUGUUCCUUUUGGAUUAAACUUGCUUUCCCGUCUGUUUAGGAAACGGCACGUUGAUCGGCGCUUCGGCCAACGUCGUGUGCGCGGGCAUCGCCGAGCAGCACGGCUACGGCUUCUCCUUCAUCGAGUUCUUCAGGUUAGGAUUCCCCAUGAUGAUCAUGACCUGCAUGAUCGGCAUGUGCUACCUGCUGGCCACCCACAUCGGACUCGGCUGGAACAUGUGAUCCAUGCAAAGAGACAUUUGGCUCGCUGUGAUUCACCCGAUGGAGCGAUCAGAUGACGGGCGCUUAAUGGUGCACGGCGGCCAUAAUCACAGCAGGGACCAGAGCAACGGGAGCUUUGACCAGAAUUCUGAACCCUACGUGCAGAAAUUCAAAGUCACAAAUUCUCUUUUUGUCCUCACAAAAGUUGAUCCAAGGGACGUCCCCCAGGAAAGGUCCCAGUCCGUAACGCUGCUCAUGGUGCUACUGGUGCCUCUACUGGUGUAACUGGUGUUAUUCCAGGUAGUUCCUCUGGUGUCACAAUCAUUUCCGUUUACAAAUGUUUUCCUGAUGAAUUGUAUGACUCUGACUUGCUUUUAGAGACACUGAGGACACCGAUGACUCACAAACAUUUCCCUCACUGUGAUAUUUCAAAGGAACCGUUAAUACCCAGUGAAAGGGAUUUCAUCUUUAAAUGUUAGUGUGCUCGAGAUUCCCAAAUUUUAACGUGAAUGAAAAGCGGAGAUCAAACUGGAGCGUUGGCGGAGUGAUUCAAUAAGACGGACGUAGACUGUUAUAAAGGUAUUAUAUCAACAAUUGUACUAUGUACACGAUGAUGGCAUGUAAACUCAAUGAUUUUAGUCUACCACAUUUAAUGUAGAAGAUGCUGAGACAUGGAAUGGAUUAAUAUCACCUGUAUUUAUUGUACAUUUAUGAUUCACGUUUGAGACCAACACGAACAAUAAAGGUUGUGAUGUUUCUGCUUUUCA